UACGUAGGGUCCGAGCGUUGUCCGGAAUUACUGGGCGUAAAGAGCUCGUAGGUGGUUUGUCGCGUUGUUCGUGAAAACUCACAGCUCAACUGUGGGCGUGCGGGCGAUACGGGCAGACUGGAGUACUGCAGGGGAGACUGGAAUUCCUGGUGUAGCGGUGGAAUGCGCAGAUAUCAGGAGGAACACCGGUGGCGAAGGCGGGUCUCUGGGCAGUAACUGACGCUGAGGCGCGAAGGCGUGGGGAGCGAACGGG
rnacentral:rRNA from 1 species